UAGGGAAUCUUCGGCAAUGGGGGGAACCCUGACCGAGCAACGCCGCGUGAGUGAAGAAGGUUUUCGGAUCGUAAAGCUCUGUUGUUAAGGAAGAACGAGUGUGAGAAUGGAAAGUUCAUACUGUGACGGUACUUAACCAGAAAGGGACGGCUAACUACGUGCCAGCAGCCGCGGUAAUACGUAGGUCCCGAGCGUUGUCAGGAUUUAUUGGGCGUAAAGCGAGCGCAGGCGGUUAGAUAAGUCUGAAGUUAAAGGCAGUGGCUCAACCAUUGUAGGCUUUGGAAACUGUUUAACUUGAGUGCAGAAGGGGAGAGUGGAAUUCCAUGUGUAGCGGUGAAAUGCGUAGAUAUAUGGAGGAACACCGGUGGCGAAAGCGGCUCUCUGGUCUGUAACUGACGCUGAGGCUCGAAAGCGUGGGGAGCGAACAGG
rnacentral:rRNA from 1 species